rnacentral:rRNA from 1 species
UACGUAGGGGGCAAGCGUUGUCCGGAUUUAUUGGGCGUAAAGAGCUCGUAGGCGGUUUGUCGCGUCUGCUGUGAAAUUUCGGGGCUCAACCCCGAACUUGCAGUGGGUACGGGCAGACUAGAGUGUGGUAGGGGAGACUGGAAUUCCUGGUGUAGCGGUGAAAUGCGCAGAUAUCAGGAGGAACACCGAUGGCGAAGGCAGGUCUCUGGGCCACUACUGACGCUGAGAAGCGAAAGCGUGGGGAGCAAACAGG